CGCCCAGGCUGGAGUGCAGUGGCGCGAUCUCGGCUCACUGCAACCUCCAUGGAAGCAAUCUUAGACUCCUCUCACCCGGAGGAAACUGGAGGCUGAGACGGAAAUGUGUCUGUGGAUACAAGGAGCUGAUCCUGAGAAAGAAGUACUGAUGAAAGGAACGCACACAAGGCCAGGACUGAGCAAAGACUUCAGGGGUGGUCCUCAUGUGCCCUUGAGCUGUGGACUCCAACACUGCUGUUUGCAAAAAGAAGAUGGCAGGAAAGGAUGGCCCUGCAAAGUGUGCCAUCAUGAGUGAGCAUCUCUGUCUACUCAAACUCUGAUUUUUUCACUGCAGCCGACUUAGUGAGGAAUAUGGGCGCACUAAGUUAUAAAAUAUAAGAAUGACAGAA
rnacentral:lncRNA from 1 species